GACGAACGCUGGCGGCGUGCUUAACACAUGCAAGUCGAACGGAAAGGCCCUGCUUUUGUGGGGUGCUCGAGUGGCGAACGGGUGAGUAACACGUGAGUAACCUGCCCUUGACUUUGGGAUAACUUCAGGAAACUGGGGCUAAUACCGGAUAGGAGCUCCUGCUGCAUGGUGGGGGUUGGAAAGUUUCGGCGGUUGGGGAUGGACUCGCGGCUUAUCAGCUUGUUGGUGGGGUAGUGGCUUACCAAGGCUUUGACGGGUAGCCGGCCUGAGAGGGUGACCGGCCACAUUGGGACUGAGAUACGGCCCAGACUCCUACGGGAGGCAGCAGUGGGGAAUAUUGCACAAUGGGCGGAAGCCUGAUGCAGCAACUCCGCGUGCGGGAUGACGGCCUUCGGGUUGUAAACCGCUUUCGCCUGUGACGAAGCGUGAGUGACGGUAAUUGGUAAAGAAGCACCGGCUAACUACGU
rnacentral:rRNA from 1 species